rnacentral:rRNA from 1 species
GCCGGUGGCUGUAGCGAAGAGGUUCCACCCGAUCCCAUUCCGAACUCGGAAGUUAAGCUCUUCAGCGCCAAUGGUACUGCACGGGUAACUGUGUGGGAGAGUAGGUCGUUGCCGGCA